GGCCAAAUGGUCUAGUGGUAUGAUUCUUGCUUUGGGACAACUAGCUCAAUUGCAAGAGGUCCUGGGUUCAAUUCCCAGUUUGGCCC
rfam:Pochonia chlamydosporia 170 chromosome 1, whole genome shotgun sequence.